AUUGAACGCUGGCGGCAUGCCUUACACAUGCAAGUCGAGCGGUAGGGGGGCAACCCCUGAGAGUGGCGAACGGGUGAGCAAUGCAUCGGAACGUGCCCAGCUGUGGGGGAUAACGUAGCGAAAGCUACGCUAAUACCGCAUACGACCUGAGGGUGAGAGCGGGGGACCGUCAGGCCUCGCGCCAUUGGAGCGGCCGAUGUCAGAUUAGCUAGUUGGUGGGGUAAAAGCUCACCAAGGCGAAGAUCUGUAGCUGGUCUGAGAGGACGACCAGCCACACUGGGACUGAGACACGGCCCAGACUCCUACGGGAGGCAGCAGUGGGGAAUUUUGGACAAUGGACGCAAGCCUGAUCCAGCCAUGCCGCGUGCAGGAAGAAGGCCUUCGGGUUGUAAACUGCUUUUGUCAGGGAAGAAAUCCCUUGGGAUAAUACCCCGGGGGGAUGACGGUACCUGAAGAAUAAGCACCGGCUAACUACGUGCCAGCCGCCGCAGUAAGAC
rnacentral:rRNA from 1 species